CUGUUUUGUUUGCUGCUUUAGCUCUUGUGGAUGAGUGUGUCCUUUUCCACCCUUCCAUUCCAGGUGCUGAUUUCCCGCUAUGGAAAUGCUCAUCACCAGCUGUGCCAUAUUAUGGCACAUUAAAGCGUCCGUUUGCUGCUCAUUUCAAUAAGAGCGGUUUUAAUGAGGAAACAUCGAUCCUCUCUGGUCUGAAUGAGACUGUAAUGAAAUAAGAGAGUGAGGGAUGGAGAAGAGUGGCAAUCACUGAUGAAUGUGCCGUCUCAUUGAAAUCGACGUGGUGAAAAGGCACAAGCCUCCCCUCACCAAUCAGCCCUCAUUAGUAGUGACACAAACAACUUCAUGCUGUUUUCCUACAGGUCAGCCGGAGAUGAACGAUGACACGGACCUGUGCACUCUCUCUCUAUGGGUCACCGGUGAAUUUAACAACAGCAAUCAGAGGCUCAUCAGAGAGUUUGUGAUGAGUUCAACCACAGGACUUUGAUGUGCUGCAGGUGGACGGGAGGUCAAAGUAGGGUGGGUCAACCUGUCACUCACAUGAGAUCGACCAAUAGCAAACCACAACCAUCAAAUCAACUCCCCAUGGACAAAAUCAAGUCCCGCCCUAC
ensembl:lncRNA